AUUCCGGUUGAUCCUGCCGGAGGACAUUGCUAUUGGGAUUCGAUUUAGCCAUGCUAGUCGAGCGAGUUCAGACUCGCGGCGCAUAGCUCAGUAACACGUGGCCAAGCUACCCUUCAGUCAGCGAUACCCUCGGGAAACUGAGGUUAACAGCUGAUACAAAACGCCAGCUGGAAUGCGGCGUUUCAGAAAGAGAUCGCUGAAGGAUGCGGCUGCGGCCGAUUAGGUAGACGGUGGGGUAACGGCCCACCGUGCCAGUAAUCGGUACAGGUUGUGACAGCAAGAGCCUGGAGACGGUAUCUGAGACAAGAUACCGGGCCCUACGGGGCGCAGCAGGCGCGAAACCUUUACACUGCACGACAGUGCGAUAAGGGGUACUCCGUAGUGCGAGGGCAUAUAGUCCUCGCUUUUCUGAACCGUAAGGUGGUUCAGGAACAAGUGCUGGGCAAGACCGGUGCCAACCGCCGCGGUAAUACCGGCAGCACGAGUAUGGCCGAUAUUAUUGGGCCUAAAGCGUCCGUAGCU
rnacentral:rRNA from 1 species